GUUGAGUCGCAGCGCCUGUCGCCAGGGUUGGUUGGGGUAGCUGCAGUGCUUGUCACGAGGGUUGGAAUAGCUGCAGUGCCUGUCGGUCUGUUUUCCCUCCCUUCCCCCUGGGGGUGCUGCUUAAUAUCGAGCAGUGGUUGGCAGAUACCGGCCAGGGCCCAGCACAGCGCGCCCUAAACAAGACCUGAAACAUAUUCGGGAGACAUAGUGCUAACAGCAUGCUGGCUCGAACAUCCCAAGGAUAUUCAAAAUUCUCAAAAGCUGUUGUAAUUAGCCGGAAGGAGGAAGGGGAGGUGGCAGAGUGGGACAAAGUAUCCCCCCGUCUUCCCCAUAGAUUGGGUGUGAUUACUAAUAAAUUCCGAGAGAAGGCAUCUGAGGUACAGGCAUGACAACAACGCUGCACACAAAUACCAGCUUAACCUCAUGACCAGUGAUGUAAUCAUAUCAUAAGUUGACAUUACCCAAUACAGCAAAAUGAUAAUCUUGAUCCCUCUCCCAGAGGUGAUAAACAUAAUCGCAGGGAAUACAUAGAGCGUAUAAGAACUUACACAAUGCCACCAUGUGAACAAACGAACCAACACUGUGACCAGCGACUAUUUAACUAAUAUAAGGAAUGCGUAUAACAAAUUUGUUUUAACACGCUCUGGCCAGAUCUGUCGUUGUCUCAACCCUUCGUGCCCCACUUUGGGCACCAAAAAGGAUUGUCAUGGUUUCAGCCCAGCCGGCAGCAAAGCACCACGAGGCUGCUCGCUCACUACUCCCACCCCUGGUGGGACGGGGAGGAGAAUCAGAAGAAAAAGGUAAAAACUCAUGGGUUGAGAUAAGGACGGUUUAAUAGGACAACACAAGGAGAGAAGAAAUAAUAAUUACAAUACUACUAAUAAAAGAAUGUGUAAAGUGAGUGAUGCACAACGCAAUUGCUCACCACCCGGAACCCGAUGCUCAGCCCAUUCCAGAGCCACGAUCCCUCCUCCCCGCAGCCAGCUCCCCCAGUUAUAUACUGAGCAUGAGGUCAUACGAUAUGGAAUAUCCCCUUGGCUAGUUUGGGUCAGCCGUCCUGGCUGUGCCCUCUCCCAGCUCCUUGUGAAAAUUAACUCUAUGCCAGCCAAACCCGGGACAAAUAGGAAUAGGCACACAUAACUUGAUUUAUCUCACUUGAGUUAACGGCUCGGUAGUUGGCAGCCCUUCAUACACUGCUAGUAGCGCUUUCUAAAACAGAGCGUAGCUCCUCUGGGAGCCUUGCCAGGGUUUAGAGCCAAAGGUAACAGGGAACUCCUCUCUACCUUGCACAUCUUGCUGUCAUCCCCUUUAAUUUCCCUUAUCACCUAUGCCUAUAGGUAGUGUGAACAGGUGUGUAGGGUGGUUGGGGUCCCACAGAGCGUAGCCUUGCGGUAGGCGAUUGAAGGUGUACUGCAUUCCACCCCAAGUUUUGCUCUUGUAUUGGGAUCGUAAAGAAUAGAUCUUUUAUAUCUAACACGUAUCUAGCACAUUCAUUUCUUGCAUUAAUUGUAUCUACCAUGGUAGGAACAGCGGCUGUUAGAGGGCCAGCGACUUUAUUUAAAGCCCUAUAGCCAUGUGCCAUGUCCCAGCUGGUUUUUUAAUAGGCCGCAUGGGGCUGGUGUAUGAUGAAUGUGGUUUUAUUUUCCCCUAUAAUACCCAAAUUAUUACUCUAGCUGUUUGAUUAAUUCUGUUACGGGUUUUAUGGCAGGAGCAGUUUAUUGGUUUACUCUCAGGCAAGAAGGCUGUAUGAAAUACAGAUUUUCAUCCACCGUUGCAAACGAUAAACCUCGCCUAACUACAUAUCGCGCCUCAAGGCGUGUGAUGCUCCAGUCAGGACUUGACAAUAUUUCUCUAAGCUUAACAAUAAAUGUUUCACAGCCUCUUUUGAGGUUUCUCACUUAAUACGAAUGACAAGAAGCCGUACGCAGGUGGGGAAACCCUUGUUCUGCCCUGCUGCAGUAAAAAUCGGCAUGGAAAAGGAGUCGGCAAGCGUGGCCGGCGAUGCUCAGCCUCCCUUUGCAUCCCCGUAGCUGCGUGAGGCCAGCCGUUAAACCCGGUAUCAGGGGAAACUGAUCCUAAACCAGACCUUUGAAUUGCUGCACUGCACACUGUUAUGCCAAGAUUAUUUUUUU